rnacentral:lncRNA from 1 species
UCCAUCUUCUAUGAUACCUACAUCAUCAGCAUUCUCUCUCUUUCUUGAUGGAAGAUCAUUAGUUUCAUUAAAAACUACAUGAAUUGACUCUUCCACUACUAGUAUUCUUUUAUUAAAUAUUCUAAAGACUUUACUAGAAGUGGAAUAGCCAAGAAAGAUAGUUUCAUCAGAUUUAACAUCAAAUUUAUCUAAGUUAUCUUUGCCAUUAUUUAACACA